UGGACACUAGAACCCCUUUUUUAACUUCCCGUGAGAAAACCAAUUGACUUUCUCAGUCCUCCUCCACCUCUGCCGUAGCCACAUAGCCCACAGCCACUAAGGCCCAAACAGAAGUCACUCAAAUAAUAAUUAAAACCUCCACCACCACACCAUAAAGUUGCACAAAAAGUCCAAUCACACAAAGCCACAAUACACCCAAACCCACCAAGGCCUCUUUACAGAACACAGUCAAUUGGACUCUUGUGUUUAUGGUUAUCAAAUCAACCUUCCAAAUCGGUUUGGUUCUUGUUCAUGUUUUGGGUUUUCAUUCCAAGCAUUGUAAUAUUUUGGAGGAUGUGAACUGCGGAUUUGAUCGGAGCAUUGAACAAAAGGGCUUAAUUUUUAAUUUUCUAUGGGUCUGAAUUUAACGCAAGUCUAACUUAUAAUCUCUUGGGAGCUUUUCGACUUUUCGUCAAACACCUGCUGUGCAAAAGCAAAUACCGACGGCCAACCAUGCCAAGUAGAAAGAAAGCUUCAAUAAACGAUAUGGAAAUCCCAAAAGCAAGCUUCUUUCCUCCUCAAGAGCAAGAAAAAGUAAACUGCUGCUGCCUUUCUCUUCUGGCAACUGGCAAGUAUGGAGCAGAUUGGCAUUUCAUUCCAACUUGCAAGAUUUUAGGUAACAGCCCUUAGUCCUUUGCCAUAAAUCAAUCUAUGUCUUCUUUGUUAUUGAUAUCAGUGCAGUAUCAUGUAUAUAAUCAUCAUCAUCAAUUUCAUGUUCGCUUCCAUUGAUUUUGCCUUGAUAAUUUGAGAAGUUCCCUUUAGGAAAUAGUUAGGUUGUUAACACAAGAAUUUGAAUAUAGAUUCAUCUCAAUUUCCAAUUUUUUAUAGCUCAUAUCUCUCUCUCUCUC